rnacentral:rRNA from 1 species
AGAGUUUGAUCCUGGCUCAGAGUGAACGCUGGCGGCGUGCUUAACACAUGCAAGUCGAACGAGAACGGGUUAUAGCUUGCUAUAACUGUCAGCUAAGUGGCGCACGGGUGAGUAAUAUAUAGUUAAUCUGCCCUAGAGAAGGGGAUAACGUUUGGAAACGAACGCUAACACCCUAUAUGCCUUUAAGUCAUAAGUCUGCAAGGGAAACAUUUAUGGCUCUAGGAUGAGCCUGUACGGUAUCAGUUAGUUGGUGAGGUAAUGGCUCACCAAGACAAUGACGCCUAACUGGUUUGAGAGGGGUUCGGG